GAUAAACGCUGGCGGCGUGCAUGAGACAUGCAAGUCGAACGGACGAUCGAGGCUUGCUUCGAUCGUUAGUGGCGGACGGCUGAGUAACGCGUAGGUGACCUGCCCCGAAGUGGGGAAUAACUGCCCGAAAGGGUGGCUAAUACCGCAUGUGGUGGUGUGUUCAAUCACACCAGUAAAGCCGCAAGGCGCUUCGGGAGGGGCCUGCGUCCGAUUAGCUCGUUGGUGGGGUAACGGCUCACCAAGGCGACGAUCGGUAGGUGGUCUGAGAGGACGAUCACCCAGACUGGGACUGAGACACGGCCCAGACUCCUACGGGAGGCAGCAGUCGGGAAUUUUGCGCAAUGGACGAAAGUCUGACGCAGCAACGCCGCGUGAGGGAUGACGGCCUCGGUUGUAAC
rnacentral:rRNA from 1 species